UGCAUUCGCAUCUUCUGAUUUCAUGAGUAAGGCCGUCGGAGAUGAUUGGUUGCCGGAGUCGCGUGCAACGCGUUGAAUCAUGGUGGAUUCUUCUAAUUCCAACCGGGAUUUUUCCGUUUCAAACGUCGGCAAGGGAUCGUGUUGCUGGAUGUAUGUAACGAAUCCAACAUACAAACCUGUCAAUCCAGAAAUCAUCUUCAACACAAGACGAGUGUUGUUGACGGGAGAAUCAACAUUUACAAGUAGAUCUGCGAGGAGUUUCAGGCGAUCACAAU
rnacentral:lncRNA from 1 species